UACGUAGGGUGCAAGCGUUGUCCGGAAUUAUUGGGCGUAAAGAGCUCGUAGGCGGUUUGUCGCGUCUGCUGUGAAAACUCGGGGCUUAACCCCGGGCCUGCAGUGGGUACGGGCAGACUAGAGUGCGGUAGGGGAGACUGGAAUUCCUGGUGUAGCGGUGAAAUGCGCAGAUAUCAGGAGGAACACCUGUGGUGUAGACAGCUUACUGGACCACUUCUGACGCUGAGACACGAAAGCGUGGGUAGCAAACAGG
rnacentral:rRNA from 1 species